rnacentral:rRNA from 1 species
CCUACGGGAGGCAGCAGUAGGGAAUCUUUCACAAUGGGCGAAAGCCUGAUGGAGCAACGCCGCGUGCAGGAUGAAGGCCCUCGGGUUGUAAACUGCUUUUAUAAGCGAGAAAUAUGAUGGUAAUUUAUGAAUAAGGAUCGGCUAAAUACGUGACAGCAGCCGCGGUCAUACGUAGGCUCCGGACAUAAUCCGGAGUGACUGGGGGUAAAGAGUUGCGUAGGUGGGAUUAUAAGUAGCUAGUGAAAUCUGGUGGCUCAACCAUUCAGACGAUUAGCUAAACUGUUAGGCUCGAGACCGUUAGGGGUAACUGGAAUUUCUAGUGUAGGAGUGAAAUCCGUAGAUAUUAGAAGGAACACCAAUAGCGAAGGCAGGUUACUGGGACGGUUCUGACGCUGAGGCACGAAAGCGUAGGGAGCGAACGGGAUUAGAUACCCGGGUAGUC